rnacentral:rRNA from 1 species
GUAGGGAAUUUUCGGCAAUGGACGAAAGUCUGACCGAGCAACGCCGCGUGAGUGAAGAAGGUUUUCGGAUCGUAAAGCUCUGUUGUAGGAGAAGAAAAGAUAAUAGAGGAAAUGCUAUUAUAAUGACGGUAUCCUAUUAGAAAGCCACGGCUAACUACGUGCCAGCAGCCGCGGUAAUACGUAGGUGGCAAGCGUUGUCCGGAAUUAUUGGGCGUAAAGCGCGUGCAGGCGGUUAAAUAAGUCUGAUGUGAAAGUUUACGGCUCAACCGUAAAAGGUCAUUGGAAACUAUUUAACUUGAGUUCAGAAGAGAAGAGUGGAAUUCCACGUGUAGCGGUGAAAUGCGUAGAGAUGUGGAGGAACACCAGUGGCGAAGGCGACUCUUUGGUCUGAAACUGACGCUGAGGCGCGAAAGCGUGGGGAGCAA